UACAGAGGGUGCGAGCGUUGUCCGGAAUCACUGGGCGUAAAGGGCGCGUAGGCGGCUUGAUAAGGUUGCGGUGAAAGCCCGGGGCUCAACCCCGGGUCGGCCGUGGCAACUGUCGAGCUGGAGCACUGUGGAGGCAGGUGGAAUUCCGGGUGUAGCGGUGGAAUGCGUAGAGAUCGGGAGGAACACCAGUGGCGAAGGCGACUCACUGGGCUCCACCUGACGCUGAGGCGCGAAAGCGUGGGGAGCGAACCGG
rnacentral:rRNA from 1 species